UUGCGCGAAGACUAAUGCAAAGUUCCUGCGAACCCCAAAAAAAUAAGAACAAAUAUAAAAGCUAGCACGUAUAUUUAUAAUUAAUUUAAAAUAAACCAAUCAUGAUUUGGAAAAGAAUUUUCAUUCAUGAUAUAUUAAAAUCAAAUUCAUAUAACAUUUAACAUUCUAUAAAUUAUACUUUAUGACUUUAUUUGAAUAAAUGAAAUAGUAAAUAUUUAAUGGAGUGGACAAAAUGGUAUAUUGUUUGUCAAUAUGGGCUUAAAUUAAGUAACCUUAUUACGGAAGGAACGUUUAAUUAGAAUACUUAUGCAUAUAUAACAAUAUCAUAACCAUAUGUGACGAGGAAAAUCUUUCAACUAAUAAAGCAAAAAUGGUAUAUAUAAAAAGGUUAAUGAUUAUAGAUAUUUAUCGAUUUCAAUGUAUCUUCUACACAUUUCAAUAAAACCAAUAUCCAUAAUUUUUUUAUAUAAUUAUUAUGCAAUAUCUAUAGACAGUUGUAUGUUUUUAUACGUUUUCCGCGUUGAACGCGGGUUAUAAUCUAGUUUAAUAUAAUUAGAGUGAAAUAUUUAAAAUUUAAAAUAUAAAAUGGAUAAUCAAUUAUUAAUUUAAUGUUAUUAUAGUGGAAAUUUAAAAUUUGAAAUUCGAAUUGUAUAAUUAAUAGGUUGACAAAUGACAUAAUUGGUGAUAUAUAACAUUAAUUAGGAGCUCCAAUUAUACGACACUUGUCAAUAUGAGAUCAAACCUAUUCUUUUAUGAGCUACUUUUUGGUUUGUCAAACAUGAUGACUUAAAAAAGAUCGUAAAAUAAACUAGUUUAUCAACUAGCUGCGACGUGUCAAACAUAGCCUUAAUCAUUAAAACUUUGAUUAUUAUUAGGUUUUAUUAUUAUUAUUAUUAUUAUUAUUAUUAUUAUUAUUGUUAUUAUUAUUAUUAUUUAAAAAUGACAAAAAUUGUUAUGUAACCUUUUAAUUGAAACCAUGAUUGUGGUGAAUAGUCGACUAAAAUGAGAAGAUGAAAUGAUAAAACCAUCUUACUAGAUACUAAUAUAAAUUGUAAAAGAGAUAGAUGAAAUGAUAAAAAUAUUAAAAAUAGGGACCUAACGUGGAUAAAAUUAAAACAUUAUUACCCCUUCUUUAAACGGUUAUAACAACCAUAUUGGUAUAAUAUGUACAAAAAAGACCUUAAAGACCUAGUGUGGACAAAAUUAAAACUUUAUUAUCCUUUUUAAAUGGUUAUAACAACCAUGAUGAUGUAAUAUGUACAAAAAAACCUUAACGACCUAAUAUGGACAAAAUUAAAAUUUUAUUACCCUCUUAAGUCAUUAACCCAUGUGUAGAUGGGUAAUAUUGGUACUCGUUGAUUUGGUUGACUAAAUCUAAGGGAUCUAAAUCCAUCAUUUAUUCCAUCCACAUACAUACUCGAAUAGGACAAAACUUUCACUUGUAAAUUAAGAAACUAUGUUUCUAACAAAAGGAUCGACAUUUUCCACCGACCAAAGAAAAUCUACAAGAUUACACAUCUUGCUUCCUAAAAUAAGAAAUAUUCAGUGAUCAUUAUAAUUAAACCAACUUUGAUGUAAUGCUACCCUAAAACUUGAUAGUUUCUAGUUGUUCAAGCUAUGCAGUCAAGCUUCUUAUCUAGCUAGCCUAUACCCAAAAGCUAAGGAUCCAGAAUUUGGGGGGCUUAAAAAGAUACCUUUAAAUUUAGAAAAACAAGUUUGAAUCAUGACACAAUCUUCAUGUAUUAAGAAGACAAGAAGAAGUUGAUAGUCAAGCAAAUUGGAAAAAGACAUAUGAUACAUACCCUUUAUGCGAUCCAUGUGGUUUUAUUGCAUAGUAGCGGUGUGAAGACGACAGUUGAUUAAAAACCGGAAUGAAGACAAUUUCAUCAUAAGAAACUUGUUGAUAUUGACCGGACCAUGUUGUGUAGCGUGCAGUCAAUAUUUUGUUCUGAGGAAAGGGCAACAUUGCAAGAAACGAAGAGCUUGAGGAUUGCUCUUAUAGUGAGAAAGUAAUCAUGUCACAUACAUAGUGAGACUUAUUUGUAGUGUUUGAAAUUGGUUGUGUUGAUGUGAUUUUUUAUAUACAAGGAAGAUUUGAUACUCAAGUGAUCAAGGAUAUGCUAAAAU
rnacentral:lncRNA from 1 species